UCCGUCAGCUAGCUCUCUGCAAAUCUCAUAUUGUCGCCCACUGAAACUAAGCAGGGCUGCACCUGGUCACUACCUGGAAGGGAGACCACAUGUGAAAGCUAGGUUGCUGCUGGAA
rnacentral:rRNA from 1 species